UCCUUGGUGGCCUAGUGGUUAAGGAUCUGGCAUUGUCACUCCUGUGGCUCAGGUUUGAUCCCUGGCCCAGGAA
rnacentral:tRNA from 1 species